ACUCAAGUCAAGAAACAACAGCGUUGAAUCUCAUAUGAGGAGCCAGAGCUGGUGGAAGACCCAAGAGGGAAGCUGGAGGCGAAGCCUUCCUCCUCCUCAGAUACAACUUUGAUGCACACUAGUGCAGAUGCGGCCAACAGGAGCAGGACAGAAAGGAGUGCAUGUGGUUUCUCAUCACCAGCAUCCAAGAAUGUGAGCUGUCUCAGGAAUGAGUUCAUGAGGCCAUCAGGACAAAGUGCUGAAGCCUAGCUUGAGAGGAGUGAGACACACUGACAGCUCGGGCUAACAUGACAGUGUACCAGCCAGGAUCUCUCACUAAACCAGAGCACACUAAUCUGGCCAGCGAGCUCUGUCUUCACCUCUCUAGCCCUGGAACUACAGGUACAUACUGCCGUGCCCAGCUUUUAGCCUAGGUGCUGGGGAUCCAGACUCAGGUCCUAAGCACUUUACCUACUGAGCUGUCUCCACAGCUUCCUAGUUGCCUUUUUGAGAAUCUGCCCUUUCCCUCAAUACCCUUACCCCUUGCCUACCCUAACAUUUCUUCCUAUGCUUUCUGUCCUACAUAUUUGUUAUAAAACACGGGCAGCUCCAUCUAAAUCAUAAAUACUAGUAGUGAACAAGCUUGGACCAGUACUAAUCUGGUGAAUGUUCUUGAACCAAACCCCAUGUGUCCCUGUUAGUUACUAAGUGUUGGGCUGAAGAAUUCAGUCAGCUAGCAUCCCAACAGUCCCAGUUCAUCCUCGUGUUAUGCGGCCAUUGUCCCGUGUGUUAUAGAAAAGGGCAGCUUUUUUCCAGGUUCCUCUGCUUAGCUUUUCUCUUCUGACCCUGCUUCGUUUCUACUCACAGCAUUUAUCGCCUUUAGCCCCUGACAUAUCUAUUCACUGUUCUUCCUGUUUUGCUGUAAGGACCAGUGCUUUCUGAAAGUGGGAGGCUUUAUUUUGCUUUGCUGGGUUCCCAGUGUUAUAAAG